rnacentral:rRNA from 1 species
GACGAACGCUGGCGGCGUGCUUAACACAUGCAAGUCGAACGGAAAGGCCCUGCUUUUGUGGGGUGCUCGAGUGGCGAACGGGUGAGUAACACGUGAGUAACCUGCCCUUGACUUUGGGAUAACUUCAGGAAACUGGGGCUAAUACCGGAUAGGAGCUCCUGCUGCAUGGUGGGGGUUGGAAAGUUUCGGCGGUUGGGGAUGGACUCGCGGCUUAUCAGCUUGUUGGUGGGGUAGUGGCUUACCAAGGCUUUGACGGGUAGCCGGCCUGAGAGGGUGACCGGCCACAUUGGGACUGAGAUACGGCCCAGACUCCUACGGGAGGCAGCAGUGGGAAAUAUUGCACAAUGGGCGGGAGCCUGAUGCAGCAACGCCGCGUGCGGGAUGACGGCCUUCGGGUUGUAAACCGCUUUCGCCUGUGACGAAGCGUGAGUGACGGUAAUGGGUAAAGAAGCAACGGCUAACUACGUG